rnacentral:rRNA from 1 species
AUUGAACGCUGGCGGAAUGCUUUACACAUGCAAGUCGAACGGCAGCACGGGGGCAACCCUGGUGGCGAGUGGCGAACGGGUGAGUAAUACAUCGGAACGUGCCCAGUCGUGGGGGAUAACGUAGCGAAAGUUACGCUAAUACCGCAUACGAUCUAUGGAUGAAAGCGGGGGACCGCAAGGCCUCGCGCGAUUGGAGCGGCCGAUGUCAGAUUAGGUAGUUGGUGGGGUAAAGGCCCACCAAGCCGACGAUCUGUAGCUGGUCUGAGAGGACGACCAGCCACACUGGGACUGAGACACGGCCCAGACUCCUGCGGGAGGCAUCAGUGGGGAAUUUUGGACAAUGGGCGCAAGCCUGAUCCAGCCAUUCCGCGUGCAGGACGAAGGCCUUCGGGUUGUAAACUGCUUUUGUACGGAACGAAAAGGUCCUGAUUAAUACCCAGGGCUCAUGACGGUACCGUAAGAAUAAGCACCGGCUAACUACGUGCCAGCCGCCGCAGUAA